rnacentral:rRNA from 1 species
AGCGUACGCUGGCGGCAGGCCUAACACAUGCAAGUCGAGCGCCGUAGCAAUACGGAGUGGCAGACGGGAGAGUAACACGUGGGAACGUACCCUUUGGUUCGGAACAACCCAGGGAAACUUGGGCUAAUACCGGAUAAGCCCUUACGGGGAAGGAUUCAUCGCCGAAGGAACGGGCCGCGUCUGAUUAGCUAGUUGGUGGGGUAAUGGCCCACAAAGGCGACGAUCAGUAGCUGGUCGGAGAGAAUGGUCAGCCUCACUGGGACUGAGACACGGCCCAGACUCCUACGGGAGGCAGCAGUGGGGAAUAUAGGACAAUGGGCGCAAGCCUGAUCCAGCCAUGCCGCGUGGGUGAUGAAGGCCCUAGGGUUGUAAAGCCCUUUCGGCGGGGAAGAUAAUGACGGUACCCGCAGAAGAAGCCCCGGCUAACUUCGUGCCAGCAGCCGCCGUAAGAC